GUCGCAAGACCAAAGAGGGGGACCUUCGGGCCUCUUGCCAUCGGAUGUGCCCAGAUGGGAUUAGCUAGUAGGUGGGGUAACGGCUCACCUAGGCGACGAUCCCUAGCUGGUCUGAGAGGAUGACCAGCCACACUGGAACUGAGACACGGUCCAGACUCCUACGGGAGGCAGCAGUGGGGAAUAUUGCACAAUGGGCGCAAGCCUGAUGCAGCCAUGCCGCGUGUAUGAAGAAGGCCUUCGGGUUGUAAAGUACUUUCAGCGGGGAGGAA
rnacentral:rRNA from 1 species